GACAGAGGAUGCAAGCGUUAUCCGGAAUGAUUGGGCGUAAAGCGUCUGUAGGUGGCUUUUUAAGUCCGCCGUCAAAUCCCAGGGCUCAACUCUGGACAGGCGGUGGAAACUACCAAGCUGGAGUACGGUAGGGGCAGAGGGAAUUUCCGGUGGAGCGGUGAAAUGCGUAGAGAUCAGGAGGAACACCGAUGGCGAAGGCAGGUCUCUGGGCAUUAACUGACGCUGAGGAGCGAAAGCAUGGGGAGCGAACAGG
rnacentral:rRNA from 1 species